rnacentral:rRNA from 1 species
UUUCGCAAUGCCCGAAAGGGUGACGAAGCGACGCCGCGUGUGGGAAGAAGGCCUUCGGGUUGUAAACCACUGCCGGGAGUUAGGAAAUGCAGGUGCGUUAAUAGCGCACUUGCUUGACUAAGGCUCCAGAGGAAGCCACGGCUAACUCUGUGCCAGCAGCCGCGGUAAUACAGAGGCGGCAAGCGUUGUUCGGAAUUAUUGGGCGUAAAGAGCACGUAGGCGGCCUUGCAAGUCAGUUGUGAAAGCCUUCCGCUUAACGGAAGAACGGCAUCUGAUACUACAGGGCUUGAGUACGGGAGGGGAGAGUGGAACUCCUGGUGGAGCGGUGAAAUGCGUAGAUAUCAGAAGGAACGCCGGCGGCGAAAGCGACUCUCUGGUCCGAAACUGACGCUGAGUGUGCGAAAGCUAGGGGAGCAAACGGGAUUAGAUACCCCGGUAGUCCUAGCCGUAAACGAUGGGCACUAAGUAGAGGGGUUUU